AUGCAGGGGCAGCCCCAGCCUCAGGUCCCAACUGUCCUGCACCUGGGUCAAGAGUGCGGCCUGAGCCGGGGCGCUGGGGGGAAAGGGGCGGGGAGGGGUGCGGCCCCGCAGGGUGCAUCCGCGAUCCCCUCCCUGUGCAAGGGCAGCAGGAACUUCAGGUUACAAGCCCCAAAUUUCAGGUCCCAAACUCUCCUGCACCUAGAUCAAGAGUGCGGCCUGAGCCUGGGCAGGGAGGGGUGCGGCCCCGCAGGGUGCACCCACGAGCCCCUCCGUCCAGCCCCCUCCUGUGCAGGGCCGCCGGAGCCUCCGGUCCCAACUCUCCUGCACCUGGCUCAAGAGUGCGGCCUGAGCCGGGGCGCUGGGGGGGCGGGGAGGGGUGCGGCCCCGCAGGGUGCAUCCGCGAGCCCCUCCCUGUGCAAGGGCAGCAGGAACUUCAGGUUCCAAGCCCCAAAUUUCAGGUCCCAAACUCUCCUGCACCUAGAUCAAGAGUGCGGCCUGAGCCUGGGCAGGGAGGGGUGCGGCCCCGCAGGGUGCACCCACGAGCCCCUCCGUCCAGCCCCCUCCUGUGCAGGGCCGCCGGAGCCUCCGGUCCCAACUCUCCUGCACCUGGCUCAAGAGUGCGGCCUGAGCCGGGGCGCUGGGGGGGCGGGGAGGGGUGCGGCCCCGCAGGGUGCAUCCGCGAGCCCCUCCCUGUGCAAGGGCAGCAGGAACUUCAGGUUCCAAGCCCCAAAUUUCAGGUCCCAAACUCUCCUGCACCUAGAUCAAGAGUGCGGCCUGAGCCUGGGCAGGGAGGGGUGCGGCCCCGCAGGGUGCACCCACGAGCCCCUCCGUCCAGCCCCCUCCUGUGCAGGGCCGCCGGAGCCUCCGGUCCCAACUCUCCUGCACCUGGCUCAAGAGUGCGGCCUGAGCCGGGGCGCUGGGGGGGCGGGGAGGGGUGCGGCCCCGCAGGGUGCAUCCGCGAGCCCCUCCCUGUGCAAGGGCAGCAGGAACUUCAGGUUCCAAGCCCCAAAUUUCAGGUCCCAAACUCUCCUGCACCUAGAUCAAGAGUGCGGCCUGAGCCUGGGCAGGGAGGGGUGCGGCCCCGCAGGGUGCACCCACGAGCCCCUCCGUCCAGCCCCCUCCUGUGCAGGGCCG
rnacentral:lncRNA from 1 species